rfam:Brachypodium distachyon strain Bd21 chromosome 3, whole genome shotgun sequence.
UUCAUACUUCCUCCGUCCAACAAAAGAUAUCUCAAGUUUGUCAAAAUUUGGAUGUAUCUAGACAUGACUUAGUGUAUAGAUGCAUUCAAAUUUGGUCAAAGUUAAGGCAUCCUUUGUUGGACGGAGGGUAGAAG